UACGUAGGGUGCAAGCGUUAAUCGGAAUUACUGGGCGUAAAGCGUGCGCAGGCGGUGAUGUAAGACAGAUGUGAAAUCCCCGGGCUCAACCUGGGAACUGCAUUUGUGACUGCAUCGCUAGAGUACGGCAGAGGGGGAUGGAAUUCCGCGUGUAGCAGUGAAAUGCGUAGAUAUGCGGAGGAACACCGAUGGCGAAGGCAAUCCCCUGGGCCUGUACUGACGCUCAUGCACGAAAGCGUGGG
rnacentral:rRNA from 1 species